rnacentral:lncRNA from 1 species
GAAGAUUGAGAAAAAACCAAAGGCUCGAGUCUAACUGUCUAUAUAGGAAUCAAUGCACAUGACAAAACAACUCAUCAAAACAAUGACUAUAUAUAAAAAUCGUCUUAAAAGGACACUUCAAAGCUAAAACCAAAAAACUGAUCUUGGUUGAUGGAAACUACUUGUAUGAAAAUAAGACAAUAAGUUCAACCCAAUAAAAAAUAGAAUCCAACAGUCGAACCCAAUGCAAAUAAACCAAAUGAACAAGGC